CUUAAUUUGACUCAACGCGGGGAAACUCACCAGGUCCAGACAUGCUUAGGAUUGACAGAUUGAUAGCUCUUUCUUGAUUGUAUGGGUGGUGGUGCAUGGCCGUUUUAGUUGGUGGAGUGAUUUGUCUGCUUAAUUGCGAUAACGAACGAGACCUUGACCUGCUAAAUAGCCCAAUUCACUUUGGUGGAUUGCUGGCUUCUUAGAGGGACUUUUGGCUCAAGCCAAUGGAAGUACGAGGCAAAA
rnacentral:rRNA from 1 species